rnacentral:tRNA from 1 species
GGGGGCAUAGCUUAGUGGUGGAGUGUGUAUUUAGCAUGCAUGAGGUCCUGGGUUCAAUCUCUAGUACCUCCA